rnacentral:rRNA from 1 species
ACCGCGAUAGGUCAUCACUUCUGGAAUGGGUAAUGACUUAAACCUAUAUGGCCCCUGGAUUGGACUGCGGCCGAUCAGGCUGUUGGUGAGGUAAUGGCCCACCAAACCUGUAACCGGUACGGGCUCUGAGAGGAGGAGCCCGGAGAUGGGCACUGAGACAAGGGCCCAGGCCCUAUGGGGCGCAGCAGGCGCGAAACCUCUGCAAUAGGCGAAAGCUUGACAGGGUUACUCUGAGUGAUCUCCGUUAAGGAGAUCUUUUGGCACCUCUAAAAAUGGUGCAGAAUAAGGGGUGGGCAAGUCUGGUGUCAGCCGCCGCGGUAAUACCAGCACCCCGAGUGGUCGGGACGUUUAUUGGGCCUAAAGCAUCCGUAGCCGGUUCUACAAGUCUUCCGUUAAAUCCACCUGCUUAACAGAUGGGCUGCGGAAGAUACUAUAGAGCUAGGAGGCGGGAGAGGCAAGCGGUACUCGAUGGGUAGGGGUAAAAUCCGUUGAUCCAUUGAAGACCACCAGUGGCGAAGGCGGCUUGCCAGAACGCGCUCGACGGUGAGGGAUGAAAGCUGGGGGAGCAAACCGGAUUAGAUACCCGGGUAGUCCCAGCUGUAAACGAUGCAGACUCGGUGAUGAAUUGGCUUAUUGCUAAUUCAGUGCCGCAGGGAAGCCGUUAAGUUUGCCG